UACGAAGGGGGCUAGCGUUGCUCGGAAUCACUGGGCGUAAAGCGCACGUAGGCGGCUUGCUAAGUCGGGGGUGAAAUCCUGGAGCUCAACUCCAGAACUGCCUUCGAUACUGGCGAGCUUGAGUCCGGGAGAGGUGAGUGGAACUGCGAGUGUAGAGGUGAAAUUCGUAGAUAUUCGCAAGAACACCAGUGGCGAAGGCGGCUCACUGGCCCGGUUCUGACGCUGAGGUGCGAAAGCGUGGGGAGCAAACAGG
rnacentral:rRNA from 1 species